UGGGGAAUAUUGCGCAAUGGGGGAAACCCUGACGCAGCAACGCCGCGUGGAGGAAGAAGGAUUUCGGUCUGUAAACUCCUUUCGAUUGGGAAAUAGGGCAUUGUGGUUAAUACCCACAGUGUUUGAUGGUACCUAAAGAAGAAGCACCGGCUAACUUCGUGCCAGCAGCCGCGGCAAUACGAAGGGUGCAAGCGUUGUUCGGAAUUACUGGGCGUAAAGGGUCCGCAGGCGGAUUGGCAAGUUAAGUGUGAAAUCCCUAGGCUUAACCUAGGAACUGCACUUAAAACUGCUAAUCUUGAGUCUCAGAGGGGGUAGUAGAAUUCUUGGUGUAGGAGUGACAUCCGUAGAUA
rnacentral:rRNA from 1 species